UUUCCGUAGGUGAACCUGCGGAAGGAUCAUUAGUGAAUUGAAUAUGUUAGCGGCCUCUUCGGAGUCCCUAGCCUCAAAUCAUAUUCAUAACACCUGUGAACUGUAAGGCUGUCUUGAAAACGAAAGUGAUUAGAGCGCCUGCCCAUUUUAUACAAACAUUAAAGUAACAAACGUAGUCUUAUUAUAAUCUAAUAAAACUUUCAACAACGGAUCUCUUGGCUCUC
rnacentral:misc_RNA from 1 species